AGCAGCCGCGGUAAUUCCAGCUCCAAUAGCGUAUAUUAAAGUUGUUGCAGUUAAAAAGCUCGUAGUUGAAUUUCGGGGUUCCACCGUUGGUCGGGCUAUUGUUUGUACUGGCGUGUGGAAUUUCUACCUUCUGGGGAACUAUCAUGUUAUUAAUUUAGCGUGGUAGGAAACCAGGACCUUUACCUUGAAAAAAUUAGAGUGUUCAAAGCAGGCUUAUGUCUGAAUACAUUAGCAUGGAAUAAUAAAAUAGGACGGUGGUCCUGUUUUGUUGGUUUCUGAAUCACCGUAAUGAUUAAUAGGGAUAGUUGGGGGCAUUAGUAUUCAAUUGUCAGAGGUGAAAUUCUUGGAUUUAUUGAAGACUAACUACUGCGAAAGCAUUUGCCAAGGAUGUUUUCAUUAAUCAAGAACGAAAGUUAGGGGAUCGAAGACGAUCGGAUACCGUCGUAGUCU
rnacentral:rRNA from 1 species